rnacentral:rRNA from 1 species
CCUACGGGAGGCAGCAGUGAGGAAUAUUGGUCAAUGGGCGGAAGCCUGAACCAGCCAAGUAGCGUGCGGGAUGAAGGCCCUACGGGUCGUAAACCGCUUUUGCACGGGGAUAAAACCUUCCACUGGUGGAGGUCUGUAGGUACCGUGCGAAUAAGGGCCGGCUAAUUCCGUGCCAGCAGCCGCGGUAAUACGGAAGGCCCGAGCGUUAUCCGGUUUCAUUGGGUUUAAAGGGAGCGUAGGCGGGCGUUCAAGUCAGCUGUAAAAUCGCGCGGCUCAACCGCGCCCCGCAGUUGAAACUGGACGCCUUUAGUUCAGAAGAGGCGGGCGGAAUUCGUGGUGUAGCGGUGAAAUGCAUAGAUAUCACGAGGAACCCCGAUUGCGAAGGCAG